rfam:Caprimulgus carolinensis contig12917, whole genome shotgun sequence.
GAAGUUUGAUUUCUCUUCAGAUCUUAUAAAUCUUUUGCCUUUUACUAAAGAUUUCUAUGGAGAGCAACAAGCACAAUUGUUGAGAAAUUUUUUGAGGCUCCAUUUCAGUGGAGAU